rnacentral:rRNA from 1 species
GAUGAACGCUAGCGGCAGGCUUAACACAUGCAAGUCGAGGGGUAUUGGUUUUCGGACCAAGAGACCGGCGCACGGGUGCGUAACGCGUAUGCAAUCUACCUUUUGCAGAGGGAUAGCCCAGAGAAAUUUGGAUUAAUACCUCAUAGUAUAGUACUUUGGCAUCAAGGAACUAUUAAAGUCACAACGGCAAAAGAUGAGCAUGCGUCCCAUUAGCUAGUUGGUAAGGUAACGGCUUACCAAGGCUACGAUGGGUAGGGGUCCUGAGAGGGAGAUCCCCACACUGGUACUGAGACACGGACCAGACUCCUACGGGAGGCGAGCAGUGAGGAAU